UACGUAGGGGGCGAGCGUUGUCCGGAUUUAUUGGGCGUAAAGAGCGUGUAGGCGGCUUGGUAGGUCUGCUGUGAAAACUCGGGGCUCAACCCCGAGCCUGCUUCUGAUACGGGCAGACUAGAGGUAUGCAGGGGAGAACGGAAUCCCUGGUGUAGCGGUGAAAUGCGCAGAUAUCAGGAGGAACACCGGUGGCGAAGGCGGUUCUCUGGGCAUUACCUGACGCUGAGGAGCGAAAGUGUGGGGAGCGAACAGG
rnacentral:rRNA from 1 species